CCUGGGCUUCCAUUUCGCGAUCGGAGAGGCCGCCGCAAAGCUGGAUGAUACGGUCAGACAGCGUCGAUUUACCGUGGUCGAUGUGCGCAAUGAUGGAGAAAUUUCUUAUGUUCUUCAUAUAGGGAGAUUUAUGCCUUACGAAACUAAGAGGCCGCUGUACUGAGCCACGUCUGUUGUCUGAAACGCCGCAUUCUACACUACAACAACAACGCGGGGAAUGCUCAUCCCACGAGGAGCGCGGGAAGGCGAGACGCCGCUAUUUUGCGGCAUCGUGAUUUCUAAUAAUUAACGCGACUGAGAGUGGGCGUCUACGGGCGUGGCAUCGACCCGCAGCAGAUCCGGCGGCAAAGCAACGCUCAGGAUCACUGGCUGCCAGGCUUCACGGGCGGCCAGCUUGGGUGAAAACGCGCGGGCCAGCAGAAAGCCCCCGACGCCGCCCAGCACCGCACCGCCCAUCGCCGCCAGGUCGUAACCAAACAGCGUCUGGAACAGCGCGGCCAUGAUAAACAAUCCCACCAGCGGCGACAUAUAGACCAGCAGCGCAGAGCUGAGCAAGCUGCCUUCGGCAAUGCCCAGCUCGACCUUCUGCCCAGCCAUUAGCGGCUGCUCGCUGGGUACGGAAAUGGUGUGGGUCAUCUGCGGACCGAGCUUGUUCAGAACGCGGCUACCGCACCCUGCGCGCGAGGCGCAGCUGUUACAGGAGGCUUUAACAUCACAGCUGACAACGGCUUCGCCAUUGUGCCAUGAGACUACGGUUGCCCACUCUUUGAUCAUUGUGCUGCCCUGAAUUUAAGACUGUCUGCAAUACG
rnacentral:ncRNA from 1 species